rnacentral:sRNA from 1 species
ACCGGGUAUGGUGGUGCACACCUAUAAUCCCAGCUACUUGGGAGGCUGAGGCAGGAGGAUCACAAGUUCGAGGCCAGGCUCAGCAAUUUAGCAAGGCCCUAAAAAACUUAGUGAUACCCUAUCUCAA